GGUGAAAAGCACCCCGGAAGGGGAGUGAAAUAGAACCUGAAACCGUGUGCUUACAAGUAGUCAGAGCCCGUUAAUGGGUGAUGGCGUGCCUUUUGUAGAAUGAACCGGCGAGUUACGAUUUGAUGCAAGGUUAAGCAGUAAAUGUGGAGCCGUAGCGAAAGCGAGUCUGAAUAGGGCGUUUAGUAUUUGGUCGUAGACCCGAAACCAGGUGAUCUACCCUUGGUCAGGUUGAAGUUCAGGUAACACUGAAUGGAGGACCGAACCGACUUACGUUGAAAAGUGAGCGGAUGAACUGAGGGUAGCGGAGAAAUUCCAAUCGAACCUGGAGAUAGCUGGUUCUCUCCGAAAUAGCUUUAGGGCUAGCCUCAAGUGAUGAUUAUUGGAGGUAGAGCACUGUUUGGACGAGGGGCCCCUCUCGGGUUACCGAAUUCAGACAAACUCCGAAUGCCAAUUAAUUUAACUUGGGAGUCAGAACAUGGGUGAUAAGGUCC
rnacentral:rRNA from 1 species